CUAGCAUAUCAUAAGCGGAGAAAAGAAACUAACAUAGAUUCCCCUAGUAACGGCGAGUGAAGCGGGGAUGAGCUCCAAAUUUAACAAUCUGGCCGGUUUACUGGUCCGAAAUUGUAGUUUAGAGAAGCGUUUUCGGUGGCAGCCUGGGUAUAAAUCCUUUGGAAUAGGGUAUCAUAGAGGGUGAGAAUCCCGUCUUUGACUCAGUGCAUGCUACUAUGUGAUACGUUUUCAAAGAGUCGAGUUGUUUGGGAAUGCAGCUCAAAAUGGGUGGUAAAUCUCAUCUAAGGCUAAAUAUUGGCGAGAGACCGAUAGCGAACAAGUACCGUGAGGGAAAGAUGAAAAGAACUUUGAAAAGAGAGUUAAACAGUGCGUGAAAUUGUUGAAAGGGAAACGUUUGACACCAGUCAUGCGGGCGGAAAAUCAGUCUUUUGUAGUGAGGAAGCGCGUGGGUUCAGACCGCAAGGCUGGCCUAUGUGUUCUCCCUGCUGCAAGUGAUGCACUUUUCCGUCUGCAGGCCAACAUCAGUUUCUUCUGCUGGACAAAACUCCAAGAGAAGGUAGCAGCUUAGGCUGUGUUAUAGCUCUGGAGCGAUACAGUGGAGGAGACUGAGGUUUUCGCAGCGUGUGCUCUCGGGCAAGGCGGAUUGGGUGCUAUGAGAUCGUUCGGCGUACAAUGCAUGCAUUUUGCGCCGUGUCCUUUUUAUACUCGCUCAACUCUGCUCUUCCACGCUUAGGAUGUUGGCAUAAUGGUUUUAACCGACCCGUCUUGAAACACGGACCAAGGAGUCUAACAUAUAUGCGAGUGUUUGGGUGGCAAACCCAUACGCGUAAUGAAAGUGAACGUAGGUGCCAUCCGCAAGGUGCAGCAUCGACCGAUCUUGAUUUUUUUAGGAUAGAUUUGAGUAAGAGCAUAUAUGCUGGGGACCCGAAAGAUGGUGAACUAUGCCUGAAUAGGGGUGAAGCCCAGAGGAAACUCUGGGUGGAGGGCUCGAUAGCGAUUCUGACGUGCAAAUCGAUCGUCAAAUUUGGGUAUAGGGGCGAAAGACUAAU
rnacentral:rRNA from 1 species